rnacentral:rRNA from 1 species
GAUGAACGCUGGCGGCGUGCCUAAAAACAUGCAAGUCGUGCGGCAGCGGGCCUUCGGGUGCCGGCGAGCGGCGGACGGGUGAGUAACGCGUAGGAACGUACCCCAAAGUGAGGGAUAAGCUCCGGAAACGGAGUCUAAUACCGCAUAUGCUCUUAGGAGUAAAGGAGUAAUCCGCUUUGGGAGCGGCCUGCGUCCGAUUAGUUUGUUGGUGAGGUAAUGGCUUACCAAGACGAUGAUCGGUAGCUGGUUUGAGAGGAUGAUCAGCCACACUGGGACUGAGACACGGCCCAGACUCCUACGGGAGGCAGCGGUUAGGAAUGUUCCACAAUGGGGGCAACCCUGAUGGAGCAACGCCGCGUGCAGGAAGACGGCCUUCGGGUUGUAAACUGCUUUUAAAAGUGAAGAUUAUGACGGUAACUUUAGAAUAAGGAUCGGCUAACUCCGUGCCAGCCGCCGCCGUAA